UACGAAGGGGGCUAGCGUUGUUCGGAAUCACUGGGCGUAAAGCGCACGUAGGCGGAUCUUUAAGUCAGGGGUGAAAUCCCGAGGCUCAACCUCGGAACUGCCUUUGAUACUGGGGAUCUCGAGUCCGGGAGAGGUGGAGUGGAACUGGCGAGUGUAGAGGUGAAAUUCGUAGAUAUUCGCAAGAACACCAGUGGCGAAGGCGGCUCACUGGCCCGGAACUGACGCUGAGGUGCGAAAGCGUGGGGAGC
rnacentral:rRNA from 1 species